CCUACGGGCGGCAGCAGUGGGGGAUAUUGCACAAUGGGGGAAACCCUGAUGCAGCGACGCCGCGUGUGGGAAGACGGUCCUCUGGAUUGUAAACCACUGUCCCCAGGGACGAAGAUGACGGUACCUGGGGAGGAAGCUCCGGCUAACUACGUGCCAGCAGCCGCGGUAAUACGUAGGGAGCGAGCGUUGUCCGGAAUUACUGGGUGAAAAGGGAGCGUAGGCGGGACUGCAAGUUGGGUGUCAAAUCUACCGGCUCAACCGGUAGCCGCACUCAAAACUGCAGUUCUUGAGUGAAGUAGAGGCAGGCGGAAUUCCUAGUGUAGCGGUGAAAUGCGUAGAUAUUAGGAGGAACACCAGUGGCGAAGGCGGCCUGCUGGGCUUUUACUGACGCUGAGGCUCGAAAGUGUGGGGAGCAAACAGGAUUUGAUACCCGGGUAGUC
rnacentral:rRNA from 1 species